rnacentral:rRNA from 1 species
UACGAAGGGGGCUAGCGUUGCUCGGAAUCACUGGGCGUAAAGGGUGCGUAGGCGGGUCUUUUAAGUCAGGGGUGAAAUCCUGGAGCUCAACUCCAGAACUGCCUUUGAUACUGAAGAUCUUGAGUUCGGGAGAGGUGAGUGGAACUGCGAGUGUAGAGGUGAAAUUCGUAGAUAUUCGCAAGAACACCAGUGGCGAAGGCGGCUCACUGGCCCGGUACUGACGCUGAGGUGCGAAAGCGUGGGGAGCAAACAGG